CUAGUGGUUCUUUAACACAAAAGUUUGUGUCACACAAAAACAAAUUUUCCUUCUACAUUUCUAUAGUUUAUUUUAUUCCUAUCUCUCUGGAAAAUUACCAGAAGUCAUGCUAUCUUUCUGAUGAAAUAGAAGAAGAGUAUGCUGCUGUUCAUCACUCUAUUGUGAAGCUCAGGCAAUCCAUUCGGAGAAAUCUUUUACAAAAAAAAUAUAUAUAAAAAAUGAAGAACUGUCAAAUAUCAAAUGAGGAAUGUUACAAAUGAUGGAAGCUUUAUAAUACUACCAAAGAUCUAGAAAACGUGGGUCCACAAGAAAACUAGCCGCAGGCUUUUAUCCUCACUACCAGUUAAGGGAUCUGGUUAAGUUGGAUGUUGGUUAGGUCAUAAUACCAUAAUUAAAAAAAAUGAGUCAUAUGUUUAAAAGUGGAGUCGGGUAUAUCGGAACACAUCGGAGCAAUGAGUUGGGAAAUGUGCUUACUUUGACUAAUCGACAGCCUCAUGAAGUUUAUAUAAAGUUGAAAUUUUUUAUUUUUGCCGUUUGCUGUAUUUUUGCCGUUUACGACGGGACUUUUUGGCCAAAUUAAGGCAAAAAAUUCUUCUAAUUUCUUCCAAAAUCCAUUUUGAAGAGCUCAUUGUUUCCUUUAAUCUUUUCUUCGGAUCAACUCUCUUAUAGCAGUAUGUGCAGAGAAGAAAUCAGUUGUAACAUAUUUUUAAAUUCUUUAAAAAAGGAAACAACAUUUUUUGAAGCUUAACGGACUUUUAUAACAAAAAAUCAAGGUACGUACAUAUUUAAGUCUGAAGAGCCGAAGGAAGGAUAAAAGGAAACAAAGACCCCUUUUAGAUGGAUUUGGGGAAAAAAUUGUUAGAAUUAAAAUAGAAUUUAGCCAAUGUAUUCAUUCAUUUAUAUGUAAUAUAUCCAUAAUUUUUAAUAUUAGCUCUAAUUUCAGCAUUUUGUAU